UGGGGCUUCAUCACCGAACAUGUAAGCGCACACAAAGUGCAGUGCACAUAUUUCUGUGGCGCUGACUCUGGGCACUCUUCUGACUACCACCAAUGUUUUCGGAAAGUUAGGAGCUCCAGGAGGACCACAAAAGCUGCCCUAUGAUGCACCAGACACCUUCAAGAUUUUUGAAACCUUCCGUUUCGCUGUGUCGAUCUCGGAUUCAGACAACGACACCGUGUUCGAGUGCUUGCAGGCCAAUCGCACUGCCUUCAACCCAGAGGAGAAGACCGCAACUUAUGUUUUCAUUUUCCCAAAUACACAGGAACAAAUUCCAUUUCACGUGAAGUAUGAUGACACUCCGGGAAUUUUCACAUUCACGGUGGACAAAGAUCCCACUCCACGAGAUGGUAUAUUUUAUUACACCGAUUACGUCAACUGCGACGUAGUGGACAUCGACUUCCGAGGUCAUCAAUGCAUACUAUGGGCGCAGAGAUCAGUAAAAGACAACGUGCCACAGGACUGCAUCGACCACUUCGUUGACAUCUGCGGCGUCGUGGUGCCGGAACACAGCAGAGACCUUUGCCCUGAUGGAGAGGGUGACUACUAAUAAACUAAGCGCUUUCCCAUAUAAA
rnacentral:misc_RNA from 1 species